rnacentral:rRNA from 1 species
CCUACGGGAGGCAGCAGUGGGGAAUAUUGGGCAAUGGGCGCAAGCCUGACCCAGCAACGCCGCGUGAAGGAAGAAGGCUUUCGGGUUGUAAACUUCUUUUGUCAGGGAAGAGUAGAAGACGGUACCUGACGAAUAAGCCACGGCUAACUACGUGCCAGCAGCCGCGGUAAUACGUAGGUGGCAAGCGUUGUCCGGAUUUACUGGGUGUAAAGGGCGUGUAGCCGGGUUGACAAGUCAGAUGUGAAAUCCUGCGGCUUAACCGCAGAACUGCAUUUGAAACUGGUGAUCUUGAGUACAGGAGAGGCAGACGGAAUUCGUAGUGUAGCGGUGAAAUGCGUAGAUAUUAGGAGGAACACCAGUGGCGAAGGCGGUCUGCUGGACAGCAACUGACGGUGAGGCGCGAAAGUGUGGGGAGCAAACAGGAUUAGAUACCCGAGUAGUC